GGGAGAGUUGGGGUUUGUUGGCUGUGGUGCUGUGGGUCAGGUAGUUGUGCUAGGGAGAGGAAGAAGCCAGCCAGCUGUGCUGAAGGAAGAGAAGAGGAGUCAGUGCUGCGAGAAGCUGCCCCUGGAAACUCACAGAGAAAAGAUGACAGAAAAGAUAUUUAGCCAGUGGGACCAGAAUUUGACCUACAACAAUCAGGUCAGUUGCUGUUAGCAUAAGAAUUUAAUUUUCUUUUAUUCAGUUUUAUAAUGUUCAUAUACAGACUCAUAUAUUUAAUUUUAAUUAAGCAAAUGUUGACAGUUUUUGUUAUGAAUUUUAAUUUCUGUAAGCCCGGUGUAAAUAGGAUUCCUAAAUCUGAAUGACAUAGUUCUUGGAUGAGAUGUCUAUAAUCCUUUUACCUUGGAAUAUAUUAACAUUGGUUUGAUUAUAAUGUAUGACUACAUAUCAUUAUGAGACAUCUCUGCUUCACAGGCACAAUUAUUUGGCUUUCUGUUCAUGUGUAUCAUGUAAUACUGGUAAUUAUUUUUCAGUCCCUUUUUCCUCAUUGCAACACACUCUUUUUACUCCAUAUUUUAAUAUGUCAAUGCAGUGUGAUUUCUUUAGUGUGAGGUGAUUCAAAGGAAACUGAAUAAGUUCUAAAUAUAUUCACAUGAAAUACAUAUGAUCUUUUCUUAGAUUUAUAUGGCUGCUACUCAUACCAGACACAUCUAGAAAUCACUGACUAGUACUUUGUUACUCAAUCAUUUAGUUAUCCAUUCUGGACUUAAGGAUAGCUGCCUUUGAUGUAUCUACUCCAUCUAUGGGUAGAACUGGAAGAUUUUGAUCUAGUUCACUUCCAGCAAUUUUGAUAUGCCCUAAUAUUUAGGAUCAAGCUUGUGGAUGCCCUCAACUAACUGCCCUUUCUUAUUCUGGCUACCUUUUGCAGCUCUUCCUUAAUGUAAUUACUUCAUCUAUUUAGGCAAAGUCAUGUGUUUUGUAUUAUGGCAUCUGCAGAUGUCUUUCCUUUGGGAAUGUAACAGUAUCCUUCUCCAUCAUUCUCCUUAGCUUCGGAGAGACACCUGCAGCUCUAACUCUCACAGGGUAUGAGGGCAAAUGGAAUAAAAAAUAUCUCUGCCCCACCUUCCUCACAGAGGCAGAAGUUAUAAAUACACCUCUUAUUUCUUUUCUAAAGCCUCUGAGGUGGACCAAGAGCAAGUCUCAUACAACAGAAGGCAAAACUGGUCUGUAUUCUGACUUUUCACCUUCAUUACUUCUUUACACUUCUUUUGGAAUAAAGAGUGGAUGUUGGUCUGUUACUUCCCUUCCUCUGCCUUUGUGGAGCAGCUACCUGUCCUCCUCUAGAACUCUUUGGAGACUUGGCUGUGUGAGUUUGUUGCAGCUUCUUCGCCCUUUGCAGAGCAAUGAUACUGAGAAAAGGCGGCAGGCAUCACAGGGGACACAAAAUCCAAGAGGAUGCCAAGUUCCCACAAACCAGGUGGCAGGCAGUUUGUAACUAUUCUAGGUGGCAGGAGAGGCACCAAGAUGUCACCCAGUAUGACUGGUGCAGACCCCAGAAAGCCACUUGUGAUUAUUAGCACAAUAACAACACUGAAAAUUGGACUACCUGUUAAGUGCUGUACACUCAGCUAAGAAGGGAGAAGAAAGACUUAGGCACCUUAUUUUAGAAAUGUAAUUAUCACUUACAGGUUAGUUAAGUACUGCAUGUUUAGAAUUGGAAAAUAUAUGUUUGAUAAUACUGUAUAUCUACAGAUAUAUAUUUAAGUCCUUCAACAUGAAAAUUCUAAAUACUUGCAAAAAAAUAUUAGUAAUUCAUUCAAAACAACAAAGCAGAGCUAAGGCUGCAGGGCAGGAGUUUGCAAGCAAGAUGUUGAGCACUGUGUGUGGCCUUAUACCAACCACUGGGGGAUCAAUCCCACGUGUGACAGGCUGCCAGCCUAAGUAAGAAACAUUGAUCACUGCUCUCCAAGUGCUCUGGGAGCCAGUUUCCUACCCAGCUGGCAGACCACCCAUCCAGUCUGUUUCUUGCCAGUUUGCCCAGGAGGAACUGUGCGAAUGAAGUGGUAUAAGAGGCUGACCUCACUCUUCUUUCAGUAAAAAGUGAAAAAGUAAUGCCAGGGUCUCUGGCAAUCAUGCUGUGCAUGCAGCAUGAAGGAAGAAAGACUGUGUGGGGGUUUCCCUUGGGGCAGUGGGUGCAACUACUGACAAAUGCAGUAGUGUUCAUAUAAUUUACAUAUGAUUCCUUGUAUUGUGCUGUUCUUAUGUUCAUUUUUGUGUGACAUCUUGGCCAUGGAGUUUUCUUUGCACAAACAUUCAUGGAAAGUUCAAGUUAACCAUGCAAAUAAGUAGUGUUUUAUAAGCCUUUAUUCUAAAUUUGCACUUAAAUGGAUGAUUAAAUUGGUAUCCAGUUAAGAAACAGAAAAACCCUAAGUGGCUUAUGCAAUUAAUUGCUUGGAAAAAAUUAUUCAAAUUUUCAAUGUUUGAGAUCAAUAAAGUUAAAAUAUCCACAAAGCAACUUGAAAUAAUUUCUAUAUUUGAGAAAAUUAAUAUUAUUUGUGUACAUUUUGUAAUGUAAGAGGACUACUUAAUUUUCUCUUCUGUUUUUUUUAAAGAGAGGGUAUAUCAUUAAAUGCCAUAUAAAAUAAUAAACUCCAAGCUUUAUUUUUUCUUUUGCUGCAAAGAGCUGUGUGCAGUAUUCUCUUAAUAUGCUUAUGGUGCAGACUAGUGAGCUUUUAGUCUUUUGUUUAAGAACUCAAUUUUACAGCUUUGGAGUGUAUCAGAGUUUAUCUGACCUUCAUUGUAUAAGAAAUAGUAAGAAUGUAUAUCUUAGAUUUCCCAAGUGAUACAGAUUCAUUUUCAUGAGUUCUACAAACUAUAUAUCCCUAAACAACAAUAAAUAAUUUUUCCUAUCAAAUGCAUGCUUACAGGCACUCGGUUGCUGAUGAAGUUGCAAUUAGGAAUCUGACAGAUGAGGGACUAAUUCCCUAGAAACAGGAUUUCUUCCUUCUUGUCAUGAGCAUAGCAUAUGGAGGAAACAGAUCUGAAUAUGCCAGAUGAAUAAAUUAAGGAGUCUAGGAUGAAAUAGAACAGCUGGAAAUGUAACUGGUGAUAACUAAAGGCUAAUUAGCUUCAAUGAGCAAUUUUCCACCUGGUUUUCUAUUAGUCAUAUAGAAAGAGGAGCUAGAGAAAUUGCAUGGUGUGCAUUUUCAUUCUGAAAUUCGAUAUGAACUGCUGUUCUACCUACAUGGUAAUUGGAAAAUUACUGUCUCUUGUGAGUAUAAAUAUUAAUGUGACUGAUUUGCAAAAAUCCUUUCAUUUUUUUCUAAGCAUCGACUUGGUUUUAUACAUUCAUCAUCUUACUGGAGCUGUGAGUUGUUCUUAAUUUAAUAGAUAUUUAAAAUGAGGAGUCUACUUCUAAGAAUAUUUUUGAAUACUAAAGCUCUUUCUCUGAUGCUCUUCAUCAAUUCUGGUAUAGCCUGCUAUAGCACUUCCCAAUCAGCAGUUUCAGAUCUUGUCCAUAAUCCCUGCAGCUUUUGACUAUUGCUUAGAACAUCAUAUGCAAUGAAUAAUGAGGUGUUUCUUUCCUGAAACAAGUAAUUUAAAGAGUAGGAAAGGGAUACUAGGUACCCCACACAAAGCUUUUCACCUUAUUAUACAUAUCCCUAUUUAUUACAUAAAAUAAAAGAUAUUUCUUUUUAUACAUAUUUCUUUCCUUCAGUAUUUAAGAUCCUCUGGUCCUUCAGUUUGUCAUCACAUAAGAGACUGGGUUCUGAAGCCUUCAUUUUAAAGAGGACUGAGGCUAUGAAAGUUUGAGAUGAAACAUCCUCAUAUUACAUUCCAAAGUAAAAGUCAGGUGAUGGAGUAAAAGUCAGGUGAUGGACAUAAGGAAUGAAUGUCAUCUUUCCGAACUUUAGCUGCUCAGAAGGGAGCUGCUGUACUUACAGUGGAAAAAAAAAAGGACUAGUUCCAUUCUUGAGUUUUUCUUUUUAAAUGCUUCAGAUGCCUGUCUUGUUGAUAAAGAUGGUUAGCUGUGGUUAACCAUGUAAGUGUGGAAGUUGAGCAAACUAAGUAAUACAAAUGGAAGGUGUGAUGAUUCACCUUCUGUCUGUUUUUCUCCAUUAACUAUCAGAGGCAUUACUGGAAGGGUGGUCAGUCACUGGAACAGGCUCUCCAGGGGAAUGGCAUGGCACCAAUCCUGUCAGGGUCCCAGGAGUGGCUGGAUGACACCCUUAGUGAUAGGAGUUCGUUUCAGGCAGUCCUGCAAGGAGCAGGGCAUUGGACUUGAUGGUCUUUAUGGGUCCUUUUCAACCUGAGCUAUUUUAUGAUUCAAGGAUUCUAUGGCUCUACAUGACUAACUUGGGUUUAGGCAGUAAUGUUUAGAAGUCCAAAGUCAGGUUGGGUGAAUCCCACCAUGUGUUGUCUAGGGAUAUUUUUCCAUUUUGAGAAGAGGGAGCAGAGACAUUAAGCUGAGGUAUUGCUUUCCAGUCUUGCAUUAGAUGCUUUUGGCUUGAAUGGAAUACUGAAGUUUUAGUGCUAACUGAAGUGGAGUCUUCAGUUUUUACAAAAUCAGUAUGUUCCUAAGCAUUGUCUUGUUCCUGGGAAUGUAGAAAGUCCAUUUGCUGAGAGGCUUAUAAUUUACAAAGUGAUUGUCUUUCCUUUAUACAAGUGGUUUCACUAUAACUCAUGCCACGGAUAUUUAAUUUUUUUUUUUUUUUGCAUUCUUUUUUGAAGGAAACUGCCCUUAAGGACCAAUAUCUAAUGAGCUCCUUUAAAAAAUGUCACUCUUACUCCCCUAUAGCAACUGUUUGUACUUUGGGAUCACGGAUAGGAAAGGGAAAAUAUUGACAUGGGAAUUCAUGAUACUUAGAUGAUCAAAGACACCUCCAGCUGCAGGACAAGUCAAAGGAACAAUAUAAUUUUCAUUACUUGCCACUACAAAGGCUUUUAGAAAUAAUGAAGUAGAGUUGUCUUUUUUAAAAGCAAAAAAAGAAAAAA
ensembl:lncRNA